AUUAGUAACCUGUCUAUUUUUUAUAUGUAGAUGUUUCAGGUUUUAAGAAUAAAUUGGUUGAACCCAAAAUCUGGAGGAAGUACCUAUAUCCAUACACAGAAUAUGCCCAUUAAGAAUACUAGUCCAAAUUUGCUUUAAUGGAACGAUUAGGGCCCGAUAUAUUUGAAACUCAUGUUGGACAUAGUAUUGAGUUGGGUAGAAUAUUAUUCUACGUUAAGUGAGGAUAUCAGAUACCUAUUAUUGUACUGUAUUUUAAUAUAUACAUUAGAAUUGUUGGUUUUUUCAUAUUUGUUUUAUAUAUUAUUUUACUUACAAGUUAUAUAAAGUUAACACUAAAAUCUACUUUUUGACUUAUAUAAGUUAGUCUGUGGUUUAAUGCGUGAUUACAUCCACAUUAUGAUUUCAAGUUUUUAAAAUAUAAAUAUUAUAACUGGCUUUAAAAACUCCAUUAAACUGUUAAAAGUGUAAUUUAUUUCAAAAUAAAUAUACAUAUACCUAUACCUAGGUAUAUAUUAAUAUCGAAAAAUAUAUAUUAAUAUCGAAAGACAUUUUUAUUCCUUAACACCAAUUUAAUCAUCACAUACAUAUGUAUAAACAUUUAUUUACGUUAUUUCAAAUGAAGACCACAGGAAAAACCAGCUUUGUUCAUUUUAACUGGAGCCGAGAAAAUGCAAUUACGAGUGAACUACUCUGGUUUUUCUCCUGUAGGG